rnacentral:rRNA from 1 species
UACAGAGGGGGCAAGCGUUAUUCGGAAUUAUUGGGCGUAAAGAGCGCGUAGGCGGUCUGAUAAGUCGGUUGUGAAAGUCGGGGGCUCAACCCUCGGAUGCCGAUCGAUACUGUCAGGCUAGAGUCCGGAAGAGGCGAGUGGAAUUCCUGGUGUAGCGGUGGAAUGCGCAGAUAUCAGGAGGAACACCAACGGCGAAGGCAGCUCGCUGGGACGGUACUGACACUGAGGCGCGAAAGCGUGGGGAGCGAACAGG